AGUGAACGCUGGCGGUAGGCCUAACACAUGCAAGUCGAACGGCAGCACAGAAAGAGCUUGCUCUUACGGGUGGCGAGUGGCGGACGGGUGAGUAAUACAUCGGAAUCUACUUUUUCGUGGGGGAUAACGUAGGGAAACUUACGCUAAUACCGCAUACGACCUACGGGUGAAAGCAGGGGAUCUUCGGACCUUGCGCGAUUGAAUGAGCCGAUGUCGGAUUAGCUAGUUGGCGGGGUAAAGGCCCACCAAGGCGACGAUCCGUAGCUGGUCUGAGAGGAUGAUCAGCCACACUGGAACUGAGACACGGUCCAGACUCCUACGGGAGGCAGAAGUGCGGAAUAAUGGACAAUGGGGGCAAGCCUGAUACAGCCAUACCGAGUGGGUGAAGAAGGAAUUCGGGUUGUAAAGCCCUUUUGUUGGGAAAGAAAAGCAGCAGGUUAAUACCCCGUUGUUCUGACGGUAACCAAAGAAUAAGCACGGGCUAACUUCGUG
rnacentral:rRNA from 1 species